rnacentral:rRNA from 1 species
AAAGGUACUCAAGGGCACAUAAUGGAUGCCUAGACGUAUAUUACCGAUGAAGGACGUGGAAGACUGCGAUAAGCUUCGGGUAGCUGCCAACAAGCUAUGAUCCGGAGAUUUCCGAAUGGGAAAACCUAGCAUGAGGAAAGUCAUGUUGUCCUGCGCUGAAUACAUAGGCGUAGUGAACGGGAACCAUCUGAACUGAAACAUCUUAGUAGGAUGAGGAAAAGAAAGUAAAUAACGAUUCUCGGAGUAGUGGCGAGCGAAACGGGAAGAGCCCAAACCUUAUAAGUUUUUGCCUGUUCGCAGGCAAAUAAGCUGAUAGGCGAAUGCUUACAAGGGGUUGUGAUAUUACACACGACCAAGCCAGAGAACUUGAAUUCGUUCGAGGUAUCUGGUUUGCGACUACUGGCUAUCGACGGUAGGUAAGGUAAGAAAACAGCGUGGUUAGCAGAAUAGUUUGAAUGACUAGCCAAAGAACGUGAAAGCCGUGUACGCAAAAACGACGCUGACCUUAUAUGUGUUUUAUCGAGUAGGACGGGGCACGAGAAACCCUGUUUGAAUCUGGCUGGACCACCAGCCAAGGCUAAAUAUAAUAUACGAUCGAUAGUGAACAAGUACAGUGAUGGAAAGGUGAAAAGAACCCCGGGAGGGGAGUGAAAUAGAUCCUGAAAUUUAGUGCCUACAAGGAGUCGGAGCCGGCUUGUCCGGUGACGGCGUGCUUUUUGUAGAACGAUCCAGCGAGUUAAUUUCGUGCGCAAGGUUAAGCCAGUUGGCGGAGCCACAGUGAAAGCGAGCCUGAAUAGGGCGAUUAAGUGUACGGGAUUAGACCCGAAACCGGGUGACCUAACCAUGAGCAGGUUGAAGCCACUGUAACAGGUGGUGGAGGACCGAACCAGGAUACGCAGCAAAGUGUUUGGAUGACUUGUGGUUAGCGGUGAAAUGCCAAUCGAACUCGGAGAUAGCUGGUUCUCCUCGAAACAGUUUUAGGACUGGCGUCAUGUGGUAGCAGUCGGGGGUAGAGCUCUGUAAAGGACUGGGGGGAGCAAUCCUACCCACCCUUAACAAACUACGAAUACCGGCUGUGGAAUCAUGGCAGUUAGAACGGCGGAGCUAAGUUCGUCGCUCAAAAGGGAAACAGCCCAGACCAUCGUCUAAGGUCCCUAAAUUUACGUUAAGUGGGAAACAAGGUGAGAUUUCUUAAACAGCUAGGAUGUUGGCUUAGAAGCAGCCAUUCAUUUAAAGAGUGCGUAACAGCUCACUAGUCAAGAGAUCUUGCGUGGAAAAUGUAACGGGGCUAAACGUAAUACCGAAGACAUGGGUCUAUGCAUUAGCAUGGGCGGUAGAGGAGCGUUCCUAUCGGCAGUGAAGCAGCAUUGUAAAGUGCUGUGGAGCGGUAGGAAGUGAGAAUGCUGGAAUGAGUAACCAUAAGAGAGGUGAGAAUCCUCUCGGCCGUAAGAGCAAGGUUUCCUGAGCUAUGGUAAUCAUCUCAGGGUUAGUCGGGCCUAAGCCGAGGCGCAUAGCGUAGGCGAUGGACAUCAGGUUGAUAUUCCUGAACCGGCGUAGUUUGUACACUGUUCACGGAGAGAUAUUCAGAGCGGAUUCAUGGUUUAUCCGUCCAACCGAGCGGGAACGCAAAGGGAGUGAAAGUUACUCUGCGGAGUGAUGAUUCUGGAAAAGGCUCUGGCUAGAAAAGCAGGUGUACGCGUGGCUAUGUCCGCCCGUACCGCAAACCAACACAGGUGCUCGAGUCGAGUAGACUCAGGCUUACGAGUGAACCUUCGCUAAGGAACUCGGCAAUACAGCGACCGUAACUUCGGAAUAAGGUCUGCCCCCACUUCGGUGGAUAUGUUGUCGGUUUCAAAGCUAGCAGGUGUGGUUGAAGAGUAUCUUUAAUACAUCAAUUCUUCUUGAGAUAGAACCAAUAGCUUUUGGAACUGAAGCUCAACGCAUCUAGCGAUGUGGGGGCCGCAGCAAAAGAGCCCACGGAACUGUUUAUCAAAAACACAGCUCUCUGCUAACACGAAAGUGGAUGUAUAGGGGGUGACUCCUGCCCGGUGCUGGAAGGUUAAGGGGAGUGCUUCACGGUACGAACUGAAGCCCCAGUGAACGGCGGCGGUAACUAUAACCGUCCUAAGGUAGCGAAAUUCCUUGUCAGGU